rnacentral:rRNA from 1 species
UACGUAGGGCGCAAGCGUUUGUCCGGAAUUAUUGGGCGUAAAGAGCUCGUAGGCGGUCUGUCACGUCUGCUGUGAAAACCCCGGGGGCUUUAACCCCCGGGCUUGCAGUGGAUACGGGCAGACUAGAGGCAGGUAGGGGGAGAAUGGAAUUCCCGGUGUAGCGGUGAAAUGCGCAAAUAUCGGGAGGAACACCGGUGGCGAAGGCGGUUCUCUGGGCCUGACCUGACGCUGAGGAGCGAAAGCGUGGGGAGCGAACAGG